AGCUUAUUCAGGUACCGCUGUUAAUUGGCGGUUUAAUAGGGAAUCGACUGUAAUUGUCGAACGAACCUGUCACCGUGAAGGCUAUAUGCUCUGUAUGCGGGUUUUUCCGCAGCCACUGUCCUUGAAUUUUUCGGGAUGGGAAGGCGCAGAGCUUCGCGUUAUAAUCGCGAUAUGUCCAAGUCGGGAGACCUGCCUGAAUU
rnacentral:ncRNA from 1 species